rnacentral:rRNA from 1 species
AGAGUUUGAUCCUGGCUCAGGAUGAACGCUAGCUACAGGCUUAACACAUGCAAGUCGAGGGGAAACGACAUCGAAAGCUUGCUUUUGAUGGGCGUCGACCGGCGCACGGGUGAGUAACGCGUAUCCAACCUGCCCACCACUUGGGGAUAACCUUGCGAAAGUAAGACUAAUACCCAAUGAUAUCUCUAGAAGACAUCUGAAGGAGAUUAAAGAUUUAUCGGUGAUGGAUGGGGAUGCGUCUGAUUAGCUUGUUGGCGGGGUAACGGCCCACCAAGGCGACGAUCAGUAGGGGUUCUGAGAGGAAGGUCCCCCACAUUGGAACUGAGACACGGUCCAAACUCCUACGGGAGGCAGCAGUGAGGAAUAUUGGUCAAUGGGCGAGAGCCUGAACCAGCCAAGUAGCGUGCAGGAUGACGGCCCUAUGGGUUGUAAACUGCUUUUAUAAGGGAAUAAAGUGAGUCUCGUGAGACUUUUUGCAUGUACCUUAUGAAUAAGGACCGGCUAAUUCCGUGCCAGCAGCCGCGGUAAUACGGAAGGUCCGGGCGUUAUCCGGAUUUAUUGGGUUUAAAGGGAGCGUAGGCCGGAGAUUAAGCGUGUUGUGAAAUGUAGACGCUCAACGUCUGCACUGCAGCGCGAACUGGUUUCCUUGAGUACGCACAAAGUGGGCGGAAUUCGUGGUGUAGCGGUGAAAUGCUUAGAUAUCACGAAGAACUCCGAUUGCGAAGGCAGCUCACUGGAGCGCAACUGACGCUGAAGCUCGAAAGUGCGGGUAUCGAACAGGAUUAGAUACCCUGGUAGUCCGCACGGUAAACGAUGGAUGCCCGCUGUUGGUCUGAAUAGGUCAGCGGCCAAGCGAAAGCAUUAAGCAUCCCACCUGGGGAGUACGCCGGCAACGGUG